rnacentral:rRNA from 1 species
AUAGUCACACGAGUUUGAUCAUGGCUCAGAAUGAACGUUGGCGGCGUGGAUUAGGCAUGCAAGUCGAGCGCUCAUCAGCAAUGGUGGGAGCGGCGAACGGCGUAGUAAUGCAUCGGAACGUACCCUCUGGACGGGGAUAGCCACGGGAAACUGUGGGUAAUACCCGAUAAUCUCUGCGGAGCAAAGGUGUGAUUCCGCCGGAGGAGAGGCUGAUGUGAUAUUAGCUAGUUGGUGGGGUAAAGGCCUACCAAGGCGAUGAUGUCUAGGGGGUGUGAGAGCAUGGCCCCCCACGACCGGAACUGAGAUACUGUCCGGACACCUACGGGUGGCUGCAGUCGAGAAUCUUCCGCAAUGGACGAAAGUCUGACGGAGCGACGCCGCGUGCGGGAUGAAGGCCCUUGGGUUGUAAACCGCUGUCAGAGGGGAUGAAAUCGUCGGGGGUACUCCCCCGAUGUUGACAGAGCCUCAAAGGAAGCACGGGCUAAGUACGUG